ACCGGACGCGCCCGCUUCUCGCUGGAGUGCGCACCGAGCGGCAGUGACUUCGCCGCUGCUGUAGUUCCCCGGCUGGAUGCGGUGACUGGUGCCAGUGCUCAGGCGCCCGCUGCCCUUGACCUCCCGCCCCGCGAGCCCUAACUCAGCGCAGGAGGACCGGCUGCCGCCGCCGCCGCCGCCAGCAGUAUCGGGCAGCUGGCCCUGGCGGAGG
rnacentral:lncRNA from 10 species